AUGAACGCUGGCGGCGUGCCUAAUACAUGCAAGUCGAGCGAACGGACGAGAAGCUUGCUUCUCUGAUGUUAGCGGCGGACGGGUGAGUAACACGUGGAUAACCUACCUAUAAGACUGGGAUAACUUCGGGAAACCGGAGCUAAUACCGGAUAAUAUUUUGAACCGCAUGGUUCAAAAGUGAAAGACGGUCUUGCUGUCACUUAUAGAUGGAUCCGCGCUGCAUUAGCUAGUUGGUAAGGUAACGGCUUACCAAGGCAACGAGGCAUAGCCGACCUGAGAGGGUGGUCGGCCACACUGGAACUGAGACACGGUCCAGACUCCUACGGGAGGCAGCAGUAGGGAAUCUUCCGCAAUGGGCGAAAGCCUGACGGAGCAACGCCGCGUGAGUGAUGAAGGUCUUCGGAUCGUAAAACUCUGCUAUUAGGGAAGAACAUAUGUGUAAGUAACUGUGCACAUCUUGACGGUACCUAAUCAGAAAGCCACGGCUAACUACGUG
rnacentral:rRNA from 1 species